UAAGUACUUCAAAACAUUAUGUUGUACACUGAGUUGUACAAUAAAAAAGAAAAGAAAAAAAAGGGAAUACUACUGAGCGCUGGGGUGAUCAGGUAAGGCCAGGCUGGUGGGGUUCUCAGCUCUCUGGGUCCCCUGAUGGAGCGUGGCAGUGACUCAGCACACCUUGACCCACCGCGGUCUGUGUUGGUGCCUUGGCACCGUGGUGGUGAAUUCUCCUCAAAUGGGAGCAAACGGAAUCCUGUCCUCCUUUUAUAGCAAUGGGGAUGGCAUCCGGUUCUGACCUACAAGCUGCGCAAAGUGCCCUAAAGAAACACCUUUAAAAUGUCAUUCACUCUUUUAAGGAGACACAGAAUCCCUCUUUCCUCUGGGUAUGAUGCCUGUGUGAAAUUGGGGAGGAAAAAAUAAGUAUGUCCUUUUCUUUUAAGUAGAACAUAGGUACAAAAUAAUUUAAACUUCUUUUCGGUCAAGGAAUGUGUGAAAUCAAUAAUGCAUGUUUUCCUACAAUCAGGGGAUCAGCUUUAAUUAAAAGAAAACUAUAAAGAGAAUCAUUUGAAUGAAAAAGGAUUUUGUUUAGGCUCUAUGUAAUACUGCACAGUAUUUUUUCCCCUUCAUGUUAGCUAAGGAAUUGCAAUGUUUAUUAUAAGGCAGCUAAGCUAAGAAUAUAUCUGCUAACUAAUCAAGUGGAGACAAAUAAGUCACUCUAAAACUUGUCUUUUCUUCAUUCAUGAGCGACAACUUUUAUUUUCUUGCCUUUCAAAGCAAAAAGUUAAAAGACUUUUUUGCUGUCAAAUUUACAAAACUAAGAUGUGUUUAUAUAUAAUAUAAUUUCUAGGCUCAAGGGAAUUACUUAAAAUAAUAAAAUAUUUUUGUUGCAAAUAUACUACUGUGAAAUACAUGUCUGUGAUUUUCUCUUGUAAUUAACAUGACAUUUAAAAUUUUUUAUUCCUAAAAAUAAUAAAAAUUCAAUGUCUGCUUUAAAAAAAUGACUAUAGUGACUAAAAUGUUUUUAAUGACUGUGAUGUAUUUUAAUGGCAACAAUUAUCUUUUAGGAGCGUUUAAUGAGACAAAUUAUAAAGAAAUAUAAAGAGAUGCAGAAAGGCGUAUCAGAGCUGCCAACAACCACCACAGCCGCCACCACCAUGAUGUCAACAAGACGAUUGGGCCCACAAACCUGUCAUCCACAAACCUGGCACAAUUCAGGACAAAAUACUGCUUAAAAGAUCACUGAAAGACAACUGUGAUGAUUGGAAUGCAACUCAAGCAGAAUGGUCCAGUCCAGCAUCCCAUGCUGCAUGUGGGAGUCAGAGCAUUUCAGCCACCUCCAAACCAGAACUCUCCCUCGGUCCUUCCCAGAACAUCAUGACUCUAACAUUUUUGAAGAUUAUAGGUCAAUUAUGAUGUUGAAUGCUCUUCAUUAUUCCUCAUAAUUAGAUUCAGGUUCCUCACCUGAUGUGGGCCACGUUGACGGCUGGAAUUUUAGGUCUGUACCCAUGAGGAACUAGAAGAGCCCUGAAGAGAGCUGGAUCCAUUCUGCCUCCUUGGGUUCUUAUUAAGUGACAAAGUAUUCAAUGGCUCUGGACAUCCAAUAUCCUCAUCUAGAAAACAAGAAUAAUAACAUUCACUCAACCUAAGUCUUGCUUUGCUUAAGAUGAUUAUCUAAUGACUUCUCAACAAGGUCAAGAAUGAAGGGAUUGAAGGUGCUCAGUAGUAGAGAAGCCUGAGUACCAAGUCACCGGUAGAACUAUGAUUUUUUGUUGAACAAAAGUUCUCUCAGUCAAACGCACCGUGAUGUGACCUGUGGAACGCAUGAUCCCAUCAGGGGCUGUGUCCUUUGGGACAGGGACGUUGAAGCUCAGACGUGCAUGUUGGCCAGCCAGACCUCCUCUUUGUCCUCACCCUCCAUGUCCCACCACACUCGGGUGGACAAUAUCAUCACAAAUCCUUCAAUCAUGGAAGCCCCUUUCUUCCCCAUCCACUCAUUGUCUGAACUACUGUCUAGAAGAAAUGGAUCCAGGCUGUUGUCCAAAUCUCAAGGGGGUUUUGGUCUAGAUCAGGUUGCUCAUUGCACCAUGGUCUAAUUAUUGAAACAAUAGGAUUGCCAAGGAAGAAAGGAAUUUUUUAUAUGAUAGACAUCUUGCUGGAAGAAAGAAAUUUUUAGUACAACAGACGUCUUGCUAGGAGAAUGGGAGAAGCUGCCUCAAAUCCAUCUCCCCAACUAACAGGCAUCAUGGGUUCUUAAAGGAGAGGCUGCUUGCUUUGGAGGAGGUCAUGUCUAGCUGACAUGAUACCCCAUACCGAAAAGAGAAGUGAUGCAGAGAUUAUACUUUUCAGCACCUUAGGCAAAAGUCCAGAGCAAAAGCUGACAGGACCACCCCAAGCAUUCUGGAAAAUCAUGGCUGGCAGCGAGGGUCUGUGUGCACUUGGAGUCUCUACUUGCAUAAGAGAAAUG